GACUCUUGUGCGGACCGGACCGAAGAGGA
rnacentral:sRNA from 1 species